UACGUAGGGUGCGAGCGUUAAUCGGAAUUACUGGGCGUAAAGCGUGCGCAGGCGGUUCGUUGUGUCGGCGGUGAAAGCCCCGGGCUCAACCUGGGAAUGGCCGUUGAAACUGGCGAACUGGAGUGUGGCAGAGGGGGGUGGAAUUCCGCGUGUAGCAGUGAGAUGCGUAGAGAUGCGGAGGAACACCGAUGGCGAAGGCAGCCCCCUGGGCUGACACUGACGCUCAGGCACGAAAGCGUGGGGAGCAAACAGG
rnacentral:rRNA from 1 species